GAUGAACGCUAGCGGCAGGCUUAAUACAUGCAAGUCGUGGGGCAGCAUGAGUAGCAAUACUUGAUGGCGACCGGCAAACGGGUGAGGAACACGUACACAACCUUCCUUCAAGCGGGGAAUAGCCCAGAGAAAUUUGGAUUAAUACCCCAUAAUAUAUUUGAUAAGGCAUCUUAUUAAUAUUAAAGCUUCGGCACUUGAUGAUGGGUGUGCGGCUGAUUAGAUAGUUGGCGGGGUAACGGCCCACCAAGUCUACGAUCAGUAGCUGAUGUGAGAGCAUGAUCAGCCACACGGGCACUGAGACACGGGCCCGACUCCUACGGGAGGCAGCAGUAAGGAAUAUUGGACAAUGGACGAAAGUCUGAUCCAGCCAUGCCGCGUGAAGGAUUAAGGUCCUCUGGAUUGUAAACUUCUUUAUAUGGGACGAAAAAAGGGCAUUCUUGUUCACUUGACGGUACCAUAUGAAUAAGCACCGGCUAAACUCCGUGACAGCAG
rnacentral:rRNA from 1 species